GAUGAACGCUGGCGGCGUGCCUAAUACAUGCAAGUCGAGCGAACAGACGAGGAGCUUGCUCCUCUGACGUUAGCGGCGGACGGGUGAGUAACACGUGGAUAACCUACCUAUAAGACUGGGAUAACUUCGGGAAACCGGAGCUAAUACCGGAUAAUAUAUUGAACCGCAUGGUUCAAUAGUGAAAGACGGUUUUGCUGUCACUUAUAGAUGGAUCCGCGCCGCAUUAGCUAGUUGGUAAGGUAACGGCUUACCAAGGCAACGAUGCGUAGCCGACCUGAGAGGGUGAUCGGCCACACUGGAACUGAGACACGGUCCAGACUCCUGCGGGAGGCAGCAGUAGGGAAUCUGCCGCAAUGGGCGAAAGCCUGACGGAGCAACGCCGCGUGAGUGAUGAAGGUCUUCGGAUCGUAAAACUCUGUUAUUAGGGAAGAACAAAUGUGUAAGUAACUAUGCACGGCUUGACGGUACCUAAUCAGAAAGCCACGGCUAACUACGUG
rnacentral:rRNA from 1 species